rnacentral:rRNA from 1 species
AGGACGAACGCUGGCGGCGUGCUUAACACAUGCAAGUCGAGCGGAAAGGCCCCUCGGGGUACUCGAGCGGCGAACGGGUGAGUAACACGUGAGCAAUCUGCCCUUAGCUUCGGGAUAGCUCCGGGAAACCGGAAUUAAUACCGGAUAUGACUAUGGCUGACAUCAGCCACGGUGGAAAGUUUUUCGGCUAGGGAUGAGCUCGCGGCCUAUCAGCUAGUUGGUGGGGUAACGGCCUACCAAGGCGACGACGGGUA